rnacentral:rRNA from 1 species
UACGAAGGGGGCUAGCGUUGCUCGGAAUCACUGGGCGUAAAGGGUGCGUAGGCGGGUCUUUAAGUCAGGGGUGAAAUCCUGGAGCUCAACUCAAGAACUGCCUUUGAUACUGAGGAUCUUGAGUUCGGGAGAGGUGAGUGGAACUGCGAGUGUAGAGGUGAAGUUCGUAGAUAUUCGCAAGAACACCAGUGGCGAAGGCGGCUCACUGGCCCGGUACUGACGCUGAGGUGCGAAAGCGUGGGGAGCAAACAGG